rnacentral:lncRNA from 1 species
ACUGCCCCACUAAGGAAGAAUCUUGGAAACAGAAAGCCAGAAGAACCAGUGGGCUCUGCCCAGCCACCAUUGGUCCAUAUUUGCUCCGACAUCACAAUGAAGCAUCGUAGGACAUCAUAGAUACCUGUUCACUUACAGAUCUGCCUGAGACUGUCUCCUGUUCCUACAGUACUGAAGUUGGCAUUUGGUUGAAAAGCUACUAGAGUCCGAUGUUGCUGGGAGAUUCUACUGGAACUUCCAGGAGGUUUUAAACAUUGACAUAGUGCAUUUAUCUCCACUUUGGUGACUUUGAUUUAUCUUUUUCAUAGUGAUUUGCAUAUUUGCUGUCUUGAUUUAUGCAUUUAAAUUUUCCAUAUUCUUUAUUAUCUUCCACACUACUUUUUCUUAAUUUUAAGUUGUGUUUGAUAAGUUAGAGAAUUUUAUUUUCAUUUAUAUGUAUAAGUAUUUUGCCUUUAUGUAUGUUUGAGCACCAUGUUCCUGGUGUCUUCCGUGGAGGUCAGAAGAGGAAAUCAGAUUUUCUGGAACUGGAGUAGGACAUGGUUGUGAGUUCCUAUCCCACACCUGGAAUUAAAACAAUAACAUGUUCACUUACCGUAAUUGGGUUUUUUAACAAACCCAAACUCUUAUUAAAACUACCAGUAGUUGCACUUCCAGAAAAUCUGAUGCCCUAUACUGACCUUCAAAGGUCAUAAAUAAUAUUAUAUAAAGAGGUUUGUAUAACUUUUUAAAGUGAUGUAUUGUGCCUGUGACUGUGCUGUGUAUGGAUGCCCUAUAGGCCAGAAGUAUACGAUCUUCUAGAACUGGAUUUAGGGUACUUGUGGACUACCUGACCUGUAUCCCAAGAACCAAAUGCAGGUCCUCUUCAGAAAUCAUAGACAUUGUGGACUCCAAGCUCCUCAGCCUGGACCCAGUGAGUUUUGAAGUGUCUGUUGUAUCAUCAACUCCUCUUGAACCUGAUUUUCUUGGUGUGUUGGUUCACAGUGAAUGCUGAGAUCAGGGGAGAGGAAGGCUGUCCUUUUCAAUGAAUAGUUCUUACUGUCUGUGAGCCUUUGUUUGCAGUUGAUCCCUGUCAACAUGAUCUGACUCACAGUUUGCAUCUACUGCUUUAUAAGGUAUUUCAUUGUCUUCCCAAGCAUUCAAUGUGCUAGACUAGGUUGUCUGACAUUUUUUUUUACUUUUUAUUAUAUUUAUUAAUUCGUGACUGUGACAACUACCCCAUUUUCCAAGAAAGUUUUCUCUUGAUACUGCUACAGUGUGCUGCAGUAUCAUGGUAAGGGGCUGUAAGUGGCAUGAAACAUAAGGACCACAAUUUUUAACUGCAAGCCAUGAUGGUGUGUAAUGAUUAAAUGAAAAUAUUUGUUAUGGAUGGUCAGAUGAAGAUUCCAAAAUAUCAUAUCUAAGGUAUUUUCAAUUGUUUCUCCUGUCUUCUUGCAGUAUUUGUGGCUAUAAACAUUGUCUUGUGCAUGAUUUUAAAUGUCCCAUUUUUAAUUCCUCAUUGCAAUUUUGGUUCCAGUCAUAUCAUGAAUGGAGUGAUCAUGGAGCAGGACAAGCUGGCCUGCUCCUGUAUUGAUGAGAACUUCACAACUAACUAUAAGAUGUUGGCCACCCUGGUUGAAGGGAACUUUUUAGAGGUCUAACUGGAUUUCCAUGUCCCCACACUGAUCUGUGUGGCUGUAAACAUUUUCCAAAACGUCAAGAUAUAUGUCUUGCUUUUCUGCAGGAAAAUCAGCAAUGUGAAAUCACUUGACCAUCCUAACUUUAUCAAGCUGUUUCACAUGGUCAGACAAGAGAAAACACCUACCAGUUGAAGGAUAAUGCCUUGGAUGGAGAGACACUAGAACAAGUCAUUGAAGAGACAUAAAGACCAGCAAGCUGUUAAUCGACAGCAGUAGGAACGCCAAGCUGUGUGAUUUUGGCCUGGGCAGAAGCUAGCAGAUUUCUGGGACACACUUCCUUACAGUGCCCCAGAAUUUUAGCAAGCACAGGAACAUGAGAGCUGCCCUGUGGAUAUCUGGAGUUUAGGGGUCCUCCUGUUCUUCAAGGUGGCCAGGAUCUCACCUUUCUGAGGUCAUCAUUGAACUAUUGAUUGUCAAUUCCAGAAGAAAUCCCACCAUCCACAAAAUCAUGAUGUGCCUCAUGAUUAGUGAAAGUGAGGCAUGUUUAUUACCUCCUUCCUGUGUAUUUCUGCUUUGAAGUUUUGAAGAGGACCAGAAGCCAGGCAGUAGGAAUGUACAGGCUCUUUUAACAAUUUGAUGGUAAAUAUAAUCCCUGUAUCAGCACCUGAUUGAAACAUUCUAAGUCCCCAAGUGUAUCCAUGUGUCCAAUCCUGGUUUCAAACCGUGGAGGUAAAUUUAAUAUUUAGGGGGAUGCACCAUCCCCUUGUUUUAGAAUUAGAACCUCUACAACGGGAAUCUGGGACAUGUAUAUUUGAGGGACGAGAGCUAUUAUAAGUCAAACAACACAGUGUAUUAGGUGAUAAAAUUCUUAAGAACAGGAGAAAGGGGCCAGGCAAGAAAGCUAGAGGGUGGCCUGUUGAGAGCUGGUGGAACAACCAGAUCAGGUGACAAAUAGCAUUCAGUCACACAGCUAAACAAAUGAGGAAGCUUUCUUGGGACAAAAAGGCCAGUGCAAAAAGAAGCGCAAGCUUUGUGCCUGUGAAACAGAAAGGCAAGCACAUACACCUCUUGCACACUCACACCUGUAUACCCCUUAUUGAUUCUGUGAGACUGGUGUCCAGUCAGCUCUAAGAUCUGUCUGUCUCCCUCAUAAUCCACGAUACUGAGGUUACAGACACAUUGGCACCACGCAUAAUUUGCAGGUGGGUUCUGGGCAUUUGAACUCAGGUCCUCAUGCUUGCACAAAAGUCAUUUCACCACUGAACCAUCUCUUCUGUCCCUCUAAUUUGUUGACUUUAGACAAAAACCUGGCAGCUUAAAACAAAGGUUUUGCAUAACACAUUCUUCCACCAGCAGGCUGUCAAGAUUUUUCCAGCCUUUUGAUUAUUUAAUAGGUAGAGAAAAUGAAGCUGACCAAGUCUCCUAAAUGGUAAC